CGAAAAUUAUUUUUAAGUGGGGCGAGUUUUUAUAUUUUAAUUUUAUAUCUAAAUAUUACCGUUUUCCAUUAAGUGGGGCGAGUUGGCAGGAGUAAUAUUAAACAUGAUUUAACCAAUUUCACAUGUGGGGCGAUUUUUUAAAAAGUGGGGCGAGUUGGUGAUCCAGGUUGGGGCGUUUUUUUUUUAAAGUGGGGCGAGUUG
rnacentral:lncRNA from 1 species